rnacentral:rRNA from 1 species
AUUGAACGCUGGCGGCAGGCCUAACACAUGCAAGUCGAACGAGUGGCGGACGGGUGAGUAAUGUCUGGGAAACUGCCUGAUGGAGGGGGAUAACUACUGGAAACGGUAGCUAAUACCGCAUACAAUAAGAUGUGCCCAGAUGGGAUUAGCUGGUUGGUGGGGUAACGGCUCACCAAGGCGACGAUCCCUAGCUGGUCGGAGAGGAUGACCACCCCCACUGGAACUGAGACACGGUCCAGACUCCACCAAGAACCAUAAAUAUUUAAUAUUGCACAAUUGGCGCAGGCCUGAUUCAGCCAUGCCGCGUGUAUGAAGAAUUCCUUCGGGUUUUAAAGUACUUUCAGCGGGGAGGCGUUACCCGCAGAAGAAGCACCGGCUAACUCCGUGCCAGCAGCCGCGGUAAUAC